CAGCGCCACGAGUGGGAACCAUUUUUAUUUGGCCUAAAGCGUCCGUAGCAGGUUUAAUAACUCUCUUGUGAAAUCAUCCAGCUUAACUGAAUGGCGUGCAGGAGAAACUGUUAAACUAGGAAUCGGGAGGAGUCAGAAGUAUUCUUGGGGGAGCGGUAAAAUGUUAUAAUCCCAAGAGGACUACCUGUGGCGAAGGCGUCUGACUAGAACGAAUUCGACUGUGAGGGACGAAAGCUAGGGGAGCGAUCCGGAUUAGAUACCCGAGUAGUCC
rnacentral:rRNA from 1 species